UACGUAGGUGGCAAGCGUUGUCCGGAUUUACUGGGCGUAAAGAGCGCGCAGGCGGUCGUUCAAGUCGCGUGUGAACGCCCCCGGCUCAACUGGGGAGGGUCACGCGAUACUGAUCGACUUGAAGGCAGGAGAGGGAAGUGGAAUUCCCGGUGUAGUGGUGAAAUGCGUAGAUAUCGGGAGGAACACCGGUGGCGAAGGCGGCAUCCUGGACCGGUAUUGACGCUGAGGCGCGAAAGCCAGGGGAGCAAACGGG
rnacentral:rRNA from 1 species